GACGAACGCUGGCGGCGUGCAUAACACAUGCAAGUCAAGGGGCCGCAAGGCAACCGCGAACGGUGCGUAACACGUAAGCGACCUACCUCGAUGUGGGGCAUAGCCGGCCUAACGGCCGGGUAAUUCCGCAUACGCUCUUGGAGGGGCAUAUCUCCGAGAUGAAACCAGCAAUGGGCAUUGAGAGGGGCUUGCGGCCUAUCAGCUAGUUGGUGAGGUAACGGCNCACCAAGGCUACGACGGGUAGCUGGUCUGAGAGGAUGGCCAGCCACAUUGGGACUGAGAAACGGCCCAGACUCCUACGGGAGGCAGCAGUGGGGAAUCUUGCGCAAUGGCCUAACGGCUGACGCAGCGACGCCGCGUGAGGGAUGAAGCUCUUCGGAUUGUAAACCUCUGUCACCGGGGAAGAAACGCUUCAAGUUAA
rnacentral:rRNA from 1 species